CAAGUACUCCCUCCGUCCGGAAUUACUUGUCAUCAAAAUGGAUGUGUCUAGAACUAAAAUACAUCUAGAUACAUCCAUUUCAAUGACAAGUAUUUUCGGGCGGAGGGAGUACAAG
rfam:Triticum aestivum genome assembly, contig: Triticum_aestivum_CS42_TGACv1_scaffold_165272_2DL